UACACCUUGGAGUAUAUAUUUCCAUCCCCGCGAGCCCUCCUCAUUCAUUCCCGCCAGCCGCGACCUCAGAGUGACAUCAUGCCGUAAUAAUCUACAUAUCUAUAAAUUUUCUGAAGCUACACCAUGAAGCUGUUUGUCUGCAUGAUGCUGGUGACCAUGGUUGUCAUGGCAACGCUGAUCGACGACUCCGAGGGAUGGAGGCGUCGGCGCAGGCGCAGAAGGAACGGUAGAAGUCUUUAUGUCGAUGCAGAUGCUGACUCAGAGUUGAGGGGGGUUGUGGAAGAGGCGAGGUCGCUCCUGGAGGAACUUGAUGAGGCCAGUGAAGACUUGUAUACACAAGGACUAGAGAAGGAGGAAGUGGAGAACAUACUCGUGGAUCAGGAAGAAUAUGAAAAAAGAAGAAAUCAUCC